AGCGCAUACGGUGGAUGCCUUGGCAGUUGGAGGCGAUGAAGGACGUAGGAGCCUGCGAUAAGCUUCGGGGAGGUGGCAAACACCCUUUGAUCCGAAGAUUUCCGAAUGGGGAAACCCACCCGCCAUAAGGCGGGUAUCAUGCACUGAAUACAUAGGUGUAUGAAGCGAACCCGGAGAACUGAAACAUCUAAGUAACCGGAGGAAAAGAAAUCAACCGAGAUUCCCUGAGUAGCGGCGAGCGAAAGGGGAGCAGCCUGCAAGUGAUAGCAGAAGUGUUAGUGGAACAGUCUGGAAAGUCUGGCAAUAGAGGGUGAUAGCCCCGUACACGAAAACACAUCUGUGGUACUAAGCUUGCGUAAAGUAGGUCGGGACACGAGUUAUCUUGACUGAACAUGGGGGGACCAUCCUCCAAGGCUAAAUACUACCAACUGACCGAUAGUGAACUAGUACCGUGAGGGAAAGGUUAAAAGAACCCCGGAGAGGGGAGUGAAAUAGAUCCUGAAACCGUAUGCGUACAAGCAGUAGGAGCAGACUUGUUCUGUGACUGCGUACCUUUUGUAUAAUGGGUCAGCGACUUACUUCUCAGUAGCAAGGUUAACCAUUAGGGGAGCCGUAGGGAAACCGAGUCUUAAAUGGGCGUUUAGUUGCUGGGAGUAGACCCGAAACCGGGUGAUCUAUCCAUGGUCAGUGUGAAGGUUAGGUAAAACUAACUGGAGGCGCGAACCCACUUAUGUUGAAAAAUGAGGGGAUGAACUGUGGAUAGGGGUGAAAGGCCAAACAAACCCGGAGAUAGCUGGUUCUCUCCGAAAUCUAUUUAGGUAGAGCGUCGCGUAUUACUUCUGGGGGUAGAGCACUGUUAUGGCUAGCGGGUCGUCAAGGCUUAGUAAACCAUUGCAAACUCCGAAUACCAGAAAGUAUGAGCGCGGCAGACACACUGCGGGUGCUAACGUCCGUAGUGGAAAGGGAAACAACCCAGACCGUCAGCUAAGGUCCCAAAAUUAUAGUUAAGUGGGAAACGAUGUGAAAAGGCCCAGACAGCCAGGAGGUUGGCUUAGAAGCAGCCAUUCCUUUAAAGAGUGCGUAAUAGCUCACUGGUCGAGUCGGUUUGCGCGGAAGAUUUAACGGGGCUAAACUAUAUACCGAAGCUGCGGAUCGCAAUUUAUUGCGAUGGUAGGAGAGCGUUCUGUAAGCCGUUGAAGGUGAACUGUGAGGUUUGCUGGAGGUAUCAGAAGUGCGAAUGCUGACAUGAGUAACGAUAAAGGGGGUGAAAAACCCCCUCGCCAGAAGUCCAAGGUUUCCUACGCAACGUUAAUCGGCGUAGGGUUAGUCGGCCCCUAAGGCGAGGCAGAAAUGCGUAGUCGAUGGGAAACGGGUUAAUAUUCCCGUACUUCAUAUAACUGCGAUGGGAAGACGGAGUAGGUUAGCUCAGCAAGGCGAUGGUUGUCCUUGUUCAAGCGUGUAGAAAUGGUUCUUAGGAAAAUCCGGGAACCUCUAUUUCAAGGCGUGAUAACGAGCCCUCUUUUGGGCGAAGUGAGUGAGACCAUGCUUCCAGGAAAAUCCUCUAAGCUUCAGGUUAUAUGAAACCGUACCCCAAACCGACACAGGUGGACGAGAUGAGAAUUCUAAGGCGCUUGAGAGAACUCGGGUGAAGGAACUAGGCAAAAUGACACCGUAACUUCGGGAGAAGGUGUGCUCUUGUUAUGUGAUAUCACUUGCUGAUUGAGCAAAGAAGAGCUGAAAAAACUAGGUGGCUGCGACUGUUUAUUAAAAACACAGCACUCUGCAAACACGUAAGUGGACGUAUAGGGUGUGACUCCUGCCCGGUGCUUGAAGGUUAAUUGAUGAGGUUAGCGCUUGCGCGAAGCUUUUGAUCGAAGCCCAAGUAAACGGCGGCCGUAACUAUAACGGUCCUAAGGUAGCGAAAUUCCUUGUCGGGUAAGUUCCGACCUGCACGAAUGGAGUAACGACGGCCACACUGUCUCCACCCGAGACUCAGUGAAAUUGAAAUUGCUGUUAAGAUGCAGUAUACCCGCGGCCAGACGGAAAGACCCCGUGCACCUUUACUACAGCUUUGCAUUGAACUCUGAUCCUACUUGUGUAGGAUAGGUGGGAGGCUUUGAAGCUUUAACGCUAGUUAGAGUGGAGCCACCCUUGAAAUACCACCCUGGUAUGGUUGGGGUUCUAACCUUGGUCCGUAAUCCGGAUCGGGGACAAUGCAUGGUGGGUAGUUUGACUGGGGCGGUCUCCUCCUAAAGAGUAACGGAGGAGCGCAAAGGUAUCCUCAGCACGGUCGGACAUCGUGCAAUGAGCGCAAAGGUAAAAGGAUGCUUGACUGCGAGACUGACACGUCGAGCAGGUAGGAAACUAGGUCUUAGUGAUCCGGUGGUUCUGAGUGGAAGGACCAUCGCUCAACGGAUAAAAGGUACGCCGGGGAUAACAGGCUGAUACCCCCCAAGAGUUCACAUCGACGGGGGUGUUUGGCACCUCGAUGUCGGCUCAUCACAUCCUGGGGCUGAAGCAGGUCCCAAGGGUAUGGCUGUUCGCCAUUUAAAGUGGUACGCGAGCUGGGUUUAGAACGUCGUGAGACAGUUCGGUCCCUAUCUACCGUGGGCGUUGGAGACUUGAGGGAAGCUGUUCUUAGUACGAGAGGACCGGAAUGGACACACCUCUGGUGUUUCGGUUGUCACGCCAGUGGCAUUGCCGAGUAGCUAUGUGUGGAAAGGAUAACCGCUGAAAGCAUCUAAGCGGGAAGCCCCUCCCAAGAUUAGGUCUCCCUGAUUAUUUAAUAAUCCUAAAGAUCCCUCGAAGACUACGAGGUUGAUAGGCUAGGUGUGAAAGUGCAGCAAUGUAUUGAGCUAACUAGUACUAAUUGAUCGUGAGGCUUGACC
rnacentral:rRNA from 1 species